rnacentral:rRNA from 1 species
CGCUGGUGGCGUGUCUUAUACAUGCAAGUCGAGCGGUGCAGCAAUGCAUAGCGGCGAACGGGUGAGUAACGCGUAAGCAAUCUGCCCCACACUCGGGAAUAGCCGUGCCAACGCGCGGGUAAUACCGGAUAUCGUGGCUCCCCACCUGGGGAGUUGACAAAAGAUUUUAUCGGUGUGGGAUGAGCUUGCGUCCGAUUAGCUAGUUGGCGGGGCAACGGCCCACCAAGGCGACGAUCGGUAGCCGGCCUGAGAGGGUGAUCGGCCACCAUUGGGACUGAGAUACGGCCCAGACUCCUACGGGAGGCAGCAGUAGGGAAUAUUGCACAAUGGGGGAAACCCUGAUGCAGCAACGCCACGUGUGGGAAGAAGCAUUUCGGUGUGUAAACCACUGUCGUUGAGGGAAGUAAGGCUUGUCCACGGGGCAAGUUGAAUUGUACCUCGAGAGGAAGCACCGGCAAACUUCGUGCCAGCAGCAGC